UUGAACGCUGGCGGCAGGCCUCACACAUGCCAGUCGAGCGGAUGAAGGGAGCUUGCUCCUGGAUUCAGCGGCGGACGGGUGAGUAAUGCCUAGGAAUCUGCCUGGUAGUGGGGGAUAACGUCCGGAAACGGGCGCUAAUACCGCAUACGUCCUGAGGGAGAAAGUGGGGGAUCUUCGGACCUCACGCUAUCAGAUGAGCCUAGGUCGGAUUAGCUAGUUGGUGGGGUAAAGGCCUACCAAGGCGACGAUCCGUAACUGGUCUGAGAGGAUGAUCAGUCACACUGGAACUGAGACACGGUCCAGACUCCUACGGGAGGCAGCAGUGGGGAAUAUUGGACAAUGGGCGAAAGCCUGAUCCAGCCAUGCCGCGUGUGUGAAGAAGGUCUUCGGAUUGUAAAGCACUUUAGGUUGGGAGGAAGGGCAGUAAGUUAAUACCUUGCUGUUUUGACGUUACCAACAGAAUAAGCACCGGCUAACUUCGUG
rnacentral:rRNA from 1 species